GAUCAUGGCUCAGAUUGAACGCUGGCGGCAGGCCUAACACAUGCAAGUCGAGCGGAAACGAGUUAUCUGAACCUUCGGGGAACGAUAACGGCGUCGAGCGGCGGACGGGUGAGUAAUGCCUAGGAAAUUGCCCUGAUGUGGGGGAUAACCAUUGGAAACGAUGGCUAAUACCGCAUAAUGCCUACGGGCCAAAGAGGGGGACCUUCGGGCCUCUCGCGUCAGGAUAUGCCUAGGUGGGAUUAGCUAGUUGGUGAGGUAAUGGCUCACCAAGGCGACGAUCCCUAGCUGGUCUGAGAGGAUGAUCAGCCACACUGGAACUGAGACACGGUCCAGACUCCUACGGGAGGCAGCAGUGGGGAAUAUUGCACAAUGGGCGCAAGCCUGAUGCAGCCAUGCCGCGUGUGUGAAGAAGGCCUUCGGGUUGUAAAGCACUWUCAGUCGUGAGGAAGGUAGUGUAGUUAAUAGCUGCAUUAUUUGACGUUAGCGACAGAAGAAGCACCGGCUAACUCCGUGCCAGCAGCCGCGGUAAUA
rnacentral:rRNA from 1 species